GCGCCAUCUUCAGCUCUGAGUCACCAGGGCUGGAAAAAUACUAGAUGCGCUACUCGUGGACUCGUGAAUACACUCGUGAAUACAGGCCAUUUCCUGUACCUACAGCCACCCGCUAUUAUAGAUCCAGACUCCUGUGCCUGACCACUGCCCAUGGCCAACUCUCUGCUGAUGACUGGACUUGACUACACAAGUUGUUGGCCAUCUUAAAACCACUCAAAGUUGACGGUCUCCUCUCCUGCCUCCUGCGGCUUCCAUUACCAUGGCAGAGACUGUGGUGUCUGAGGUGGUGUAGCGUACUGAAGCAAGGCUGUCUUGAAGAAGAGGAGACAACUCACAAUUCUACCACCUUUGUUGACCUCUUCUUCCCCCCAACUUAUUGCUGUAGAGGCUACCUGAGCUCAUUGUCCCUGGAGAUGGACCAAAUAGAAGAAUAAGCAGUGCCUGUGUGGUGAGCUUCAAGAGGCAUCUGUUCUCUGGGGAGUGGGUGGGUGGUAAAGCAAAGACGGGAGAUGUGUAUAUUAGCUAUCCAUUACUGUAUAAUUAAUUAUACACAAAACUAAACUAUACACUAAACUAAAACUUCACAGCUUAAAACAGGAAAUAUGUAUUAUCUCACACAAUUUCUGAGAGUCAGGAAUCUGAAAAUGGCUUAGCUAGUUUGGUUCUGGCUCAGGGUGACCUAUGGAGUUGCAGCCAAGAUGUCAUCUGGGACUACUAUCAUUGGAAGGCUCAGCUGGGGCUGGAGGCUACACUUCCAAGAUGGCUCACUUAUAGGGCUAUUGGUGGGAGGCUUCAGUUCCUCUCCACAUGAAACUUUCCUCAUGCCAUGGAACUGGCUUCCCUCAGAGUGAAAGACCCAAGAGAGAGACUAAGACAGAAGCUGCAAUGUUUUUAUGACCUAGUCUUGGAAGUGACUUACUGUCAUUUCUACUGUAUUUUAUUCAUUAGAAGCAAGUCAUUAAGUCCAGCCCACAUUCAAAGUAAGAGGAUUUAAGCUGAACCUCUUGAAAAAAUGGUAUCAAAGUAUUUACGGACAUUUUAAAAACUACCACAAUACAUAUAGGUGAACUUCACAAGGUGUAGACAUGGGCUGAGACAGAAUAUUGGAUAAUAUCUCAUUCUGCAAACAGCAGCCUCAUCUGUAAUAAAAUCCCAGCAUUCAGAAAUUAUCACGAUCAAGUAGGAAAAGGGCUUGUUGGAAAAAACUUAUCAAAGAUGUUACUUCAUUUAUCCAUUUAUUCUGAGCCAUAGCAUAAUAGCGACAAAUUGUGUGUCCUGUGUAAUUUGGAUACCUCUGCUCAAUAAUAGCUGAACAGAUUUUAUCCUAUUUUUAGAAUAGUUAAUAUAUACACAUGGCACAAAAUUUAAAAGGUAUAAAAGUUUCUGGUUCAAAAAUAAGAUUCCCUCAUUUUCUUUUUUUCUGAUUCUUUGAAUGCAAUUCGAUUUACUGAUUUCUCAUGUAGCCUUAGAAAGUAUUCUAUGUACUUACAAACAUAUAUGUACACAUAUUUUUUCUUUCCCACAAAUAAAAUACUGUAUGCAUUGUUUU
rnacentral:lncRNA from 10 species